UACGGAGGGUUCCCUCGUUCUUCUUAAUUACUGGGCGUAAAGGGUGCGUAGGCGGGAAUGUAAGUCAGAUGUGAAAAACUGGAGCUCAACUUCAGCCCUGCAUCUGAAACUGCGUUUCUAGAGGAAAGGCGGAGAAAACGGAAUUCCACGUGUAGCGGUGAAAUGCGUAGAUAUCUGGAGGAACACCGGUGGCGAAGGCGGCAUCCUGGACCAACACUGACGCUGAGGAGCGAAAGCCAGGGGAGCAAACGGG
rnacentral:rRNA from 1 species